rnacentral:rRNA from 1 species
CAGUCGAGCGAUUUACUUCGGUAAAGAGCGGCGGACGGGUGAGUAACGCGUGGCCAAUCUGCCCUGUACACACGGAUAACAUACCGAAAGGUAUGCUAAUACGAGAUAAUAUGCUUUUAUCGCAUGGUAGAAGUAUCAAAGCUCCGGCGGUACAGGAUGGACCCGCGUCUGAUUAGCUAGUUGGUAAGGUAACGGCUUACCAAGGCGACGAUCAGUAGCCGACCUGAGAGGGUGAUCGGCCACAUUGGAACUGAGACACGGUCCAAACUCCUACGGGAGGCAGCAGUGGGGAAUAUUGCACAAUGGGCGAAAGCCUGAUGCAGCAACGCCGCGUGAGCGAUGAAGGCCUUCGGGUCGUAAAGCUCUGUCCUCAAGGAAGAUAAUGACGGUACUUGAGGAGGAAGCCCCGGCUAACUACGUGCCAGCAGCCGCGGUAAUACGUAGGGGGCUAGCGUUAUCCGGAAUUACUGGGCGUAAAGGGUGCGUAGGUGGUUUCUUAAGUCAGAGGUGAAAGGCUACGGCUCAACCGUAGUAAGCCUUUGAAACUGGGAAACUUGAGUGCAGGAGAGGAGAGUGGAAUUCCUAGUGUAGCGGUGAAAUGCGUAGAUAUUAGGAGGAACACCAGUUGCGAAGGCGGCUCUCUGGACUGUGACUGACACUGAGGCACGAAAGCGUGGGGAGCAAACAGGAUUAGAUACCCUGGUAGUCCACGCCGUAAACGAUGAGUACUAGCUGUCGGAGGUUACCCCCUUCGGUGGCGCAGCUAACGCAUUAAGUACUCCGCCUGGGAAGUACGCUCGCAAGAGUG